rnacentral:lncRNA from 1 species
UGUGUUAUUAGUAGACCACCAAUGAGGAAUGACUCAGAGGAAGAAGUAGUUUACACAAAGCUUGAGUUUUGUAACUGAACAUUAUUAUUUGUGAUCCAUUUCUUGCUCAUGAAGACAAAAAAAGUUAACUUUUUUUUUUUUCUGUCCCACUUUUCUAUCUCUGAGGCUCCAAGUUUUGGAGACAGUGUUUACCUAGCAUAAGUCACUACAAGUUUCAUAAACUGGGCAUAAGAUGGUACGAUGUGAAAUCUUAGUAAAAGUCUGUUGUAAUACAACAGUUUCAUUAGGUUUAUUUGGCCAUAGAGACAAAUAGAUUGUCCAUUUCAAAUUGAUUAAUAAGACACCUGGGAAUAUUUACUUGACUGUAUCAAAGCCCGAAGUCUUCGUUUGUGUGAUCUCUUCAGGAUUGUGUUUUUACUUGGAGCGAUAUGCUACUUUUCUGUAUGAUUGGGAAAUAAAGCCUUUAGGCCACGGCUCUCAUAGUAUACUUGAAGUUCCACAAACCAAUCAUGUUUACAUAUAAAUCUUUCAACUGAUUGAAAGAAUCGACAGCAAGAUUAUGAAACACCUUCCCUGUCCCACCAUCAAGGCUUGCUGCUUCCUGCCCUGGAGCUUCUGUUUAGAUGCCAUGUCUUCUCAGGAGACUUUGCUGUUCUCCAAGGACCAACUAACACAUUGCAUCGCAGAAGUCUUGUUUGCUGGUGUAAGAGAGGACAGGCCAAAUGGGACGUCACGGCCCUCUGGAUUCCCCUGAAAUAUCCAGGCCCCUUCACUCUGUGAUCUUGCACUUGAAGCAUGUGCUGCUGUUGGCUCAGCACUUCUCAUUAGGUACUGAAAAAGCCUCUGGUCUGGAUGACAAGCCCUGCCAGUCCUUUAGGUAAUAUUCCUUUUCCUCCUCUUGCUUCCUACAGAAAACUGACUUUAUUCAGGGUAUGGAAGCUCACAGUUUAAAUGCUCAGAUUCUUUCACUAUUUUGGGUAAUGAGAUAUAAGUGAGCCUACUUACCUUCCAUUGGCAAUUGUAGGAGAACUGUCAUUUUCCUGAUAAAUCGAUGAUCAAAUCAGAUGACCCACACCCUUUGUGUUUACCCUUCAGAAAGAGCGGCAGCUAUCCUGCAGGCACGAAAAUGAAAGCCAUACACUAAGAGUGGCUGCACUUUGAGGGAUUUUGGAGCUGAUCAAAAAAAAAAAAACAACAACAACGAUAUGGUCUCCAGGCAUAGUAAUCCAUAACACACUUGACUGGGCCACACUUGGACAGGAUUGCAUAAAAUGGGCUCACAACGUGGGGCUAUCCCAGAAGCUCACAGUAAGGAGGGGCACUGCCUAGCAGAGGAGGGCAAGGAGACUCCCCGAGGAGAUGGGGAUUAGAGACACAUCUCAUGGGCCCAACUGAUGUACUCCAGCAGCACAGCAGUAGGGAGUCUGUGGGUCAGAGAGCCCCAAAGGGCCGUAACAGCUCCAGGUCUUAUAACCACAAGGCUCUGUACCAUCUAUUGCUAGCAGAUGUAGAUUGAGGUUUGGGAGGUGUGCAAAGCAGGGAGGCUCUAAGUGGCUAAUGAUUGACUAAUUUGGACUAUAGUUAAAAUAAUUUCAUGUAUUAAGUACU